CUGACCGUGCAAAGGUAGCGUAAUCACUUGUCCUUUAAAUGAAGACCUGUAUGAAUGGCAUAACGAGGGCUUAACUGUCUCCUUUUUCAAGUCAAUGAAAUUGAUCUCCCCGUGCAGAAGCGGGGAUGAAUACAUAAGACGAGAAGACCCUAUGGAGCUUUAGACACCAAGACAUAUUAUGUUAAGCACCCCCGUUUAAAGGACUAAACUAAAUAAACCAUGUCCCAUGUCUUUGGUUGGGGCGACCGCGGGGAAAUAAAAAACCCCCACGUGGAGCGGGAACACUUAACCCUCCCACAACCAAGAGCUACAGCUCUAGUGAACAGAAUUUCUGACCAUAAAGAUCCGGCAAGGCCGAUCAACGGACCGAGUUACCCUAGGGAUAACAGCGCAAUCCCCUUUUAGAGCCCAUAUCGACAAGGGGGUUUACGACCUCGAUGUUGGAUCAGGACAUCCUAAUGGUGCAGCCGCUAUUAAGGGUUCGUUGUUCAACGAUUAAAGUCCUACGUGAUCUGAGUUCAGACCGGAG
rnacentral:rRNA from 1 species